UACGAAGGGGGCUAGCGUUGCUCGGAAUUACUGGGCGUAAAGGGUUCGUAGGUGGCUUGCUAAGUCAGACGUGAAAUCCCUCAGCUUAACUGGGGAACUGCGUCUGAUACUGGCGAGCUUGAGUGCAGGAGAGGAACGCGGAAUUCCAGGUGUAGCGGUGAAAUGCGUAGAUAUCUGGAGGAACACCGGUGGCGAAGGCGGCGUUCUGGACUGCAACUGACACUGAAGAACGAAAGCCAGGGGAGCAAACGGG
rnacentral:rRNA from 1 species